UAGUGCAUUCCAAGAUCCAAAAUCGAAAGUCCCUUUUCCUCCUCUGCUCUCUCCUUAUCUGCCUCAUCUGUCCCAUUUGACUUCCACGAUAGCCACUGCUGCUAUCUGUGAGAGAAUCGGGGAAACAUGGCCUUCAAUCCCGCUAAUCUGUUGGUGUCACUGGGGCUGGGUCUCACUGGGAUUCUUUUCAAAUCUUAAAAAUCUCUUUCGCUCUCUCUCUCUCUCUCUCUCUCUCUAUAUGCACCAUCCCUCUGCUACGAAAAUUCACUAUUCUUGAUGAUCUCAAUUGAGAAACUUGGCUCAUCGCUCUUCAUCUCAACCAAGAAACUGGUCUUUCACAAUCCCUACAUUUCUAAAUGAAAAUUUCAUCUUGUACCCAAUAUUUUACGCAUAAUUACUCGUUUGUUUCACCCAUUUGCUCAAGGGAAAAAAGGAGAAGAAUUUUCCUCGUUUUUCUUCAGAGGAAAGGAAAUCUUACCAAAACUGCUCUGCCACAUCUCUCAAUGUUCAGACUUCAGAGAGAAGUGGAUAUGAUGAUGGAAGCUAGUGCUACAGCUGUUGGUCUUGGACCACUUAAUCUGUGUGUUGAAACUGCAACAAUGGCACUUUUGGCAACUCUGAUGUUAUGGUCUGAUGCUCAGCAAUUGUCCAAUGCCUAUAUGUAUUUACAAGUAAGAUUUGUCAAGUAUUUUGCAUCUUACGCUGCUCCUAGUAUUUGUCUGAUUCAGAUAUAUCCCAAGGAAAUGGCUUAUAAGAACUAGAAGAUGAUAUCUUUUGUCGCAACGUAUUUUACGGUCGCUAGGCAAUUCACACCGAAGUGGAAAAAGUGUCGAGUCGCCACUCUAAUUUUUGUGGGGAAAAAUAGAGAAAACCUUUUAUUUUGAAAUUUUUUUGACUUAAAAAAAUAAUUAUAAUACACUUCUAUUUCAGAGAUUCAAGGUUCGAGGCCCUUAUGCGUGUAGGGAUUAGGCAUCCCAUAUCAUCCUAAAAGGGUAGAUAGAUUUAAGUAUGUGCUCAAAUAAAUUAAUACCAAUUAUUUGAAAUAAA